rnacentral:rRNA from 1 species
CCAAUAGCGUAUAUUAAAGUUGUUGCAGUUAAAAAGCUCGUAGUUGAAUUUCGGGGUCAGCAGGUUGGUCGUGCCAAUGGUAUGCACUGGCCUUGCUGAUUCCUCCCUCUUGAUGAGCCGUAAUGUCAUUAAUUUGGUGUUGCGGGGAAUCAGGACUGUUACUUCGAAAAAAUUAGAGUGUUUAAAGCAGGCAAGCGCUUGAAUACAUUAGCAUGGAAUAAUGAAAUAGGACGUUUGAUCCUAUUUUGUUGGUUUCUAGGAUUGACGUAAUGAUUAAUAGGGAUAGUUGGGGGCAUUAGUAUUCAAUUGUCAGAGGUGAAAUUCUUGGAUUUAUUGAAGACUAACUACUGCGAAAGCAUUUGCCAAGGAUGUUUUCAUUAAUCAAGAACGAAAGUUAGGGGAUCGAAGACGAUCAGAUACCGUCGUAGUCUUAACCAUAAACUAUGCCGACUAGGGAUCGGAUGAUGUUAAUUUUUUAAUGACUCAUUCGGCGCCUUACG